AGGGGCCGUAGGGAAGCCGCUCAAGGUCACUUUGUAACAACUUUAUUGGCAACUGGUUGGGAAGGACAAAGACACUUGCGUACGGGUGGGCUGGCGGGCAGGGGCUGGUAGAGGAGAAACAGAAAGAAGAAAUGGACAACUGGCCCUGGCUGAGAGAAUUGAACAGGUUGUUUCCCUUUUGAUCUGAGCCUGCCGGAGGAUCAAUUGACACCCUGUGAGGAAAACAAACCUCCAAACCUGUGCUAAUUCUGUAGGAUUAUUCAGUCAAGCCGCUGGUAGAUUAUCUGGACAAACAGCAUUACCCUUGAGAUCUACUAAUUCCUUGCCACGCUACAGUUCUCCUGCCUCAGAGUUUUUAUUUAAUUUGGACCCCUGCCUUGCCAGAGUAUCCACCCUUGGCCUACUGGUCCCAUGCUUCAACAUCCAAUCAACUUUCUCUUAAGGACAAAUAGGAAAAAUACCCCCACUAGAACUACCUUUUAACAAUUAUCAAAGGGGUUGCUAUGUUUGGAGGAGCACUUCCUUGAUGUAUGAAGUAAAAUGACCCUAUCUGUGGGGGGAAAGACUAAGAUCUGGAAAGAAAAGAAGCCAAGACUGAAGCUUAAAUUUUUGGAUAUCAGAUCUCAUCCUGGCUGGGAAGAAGGCGAAGUUUCAGUAUCUGAAAGACACAGAGGUGUGAGGUACCAGUAGAAGAGCUUUUGGGGAUACUACAUGAAAAGAUGUCGCGUUCAUUGAGAUUGAAAGAGUACAUUGAAAUCUGAAAUCCGGAGCAAACUUAAUAUGGCGACGUGAGGGAGGGUCAUCUUGAAAGUGACUCACAGAGCAUACAGGGCUUUGCCUAAAACCACAGAUUACAUAACCUUCAUCUUAUCUAAGGGCUUAAAAUGAAGUGAUGGACCAAUCAAAGAAUUAUUUCACUGAAGAUCUAUACAAGUGUU